GAGGAAUUCGGAGACAGGUGCUGCAUGGCUGUCGUCAGCUCGUGUCGUGAGAUGUGGGUUAAGUCCCGCAACGAGCGCAACCCUUGUCUUUAGUUGCCAUCAUUAAGUUGGGCACUCUAAAGAGACUGCCGGUGUCAAACCGGAGGAAGGUGGGGAUGACGUCAAGUCCUCAUGGCCUUUAUGACCAGGGCUACACACGUACUACAAUGGCAGGUACAAAGGGCAGCCACUUAGCGAUAAGGCGCGAAUCCCGUAAAACCUGUCUCAGUCCGGAUUGGAGUCUGCAACUCGACUCCAUGAAGUUGGAAUCGCUAGUAAUCGCAGAUCAGCACGCUGCGGUGAAUUACCGGUUCCCGGGCCUU
rnacentral:rRNA from 1 species